UAGGCGUGGCCGUUGGGACUUGGGGCGCAGCGCAGCUGCUGCUGCUGCUGCGUCUGGAGGAUUGAUAUUUAUUUUUGCAUUGAGAUGACUGAAGGCGUUUAUUUAACGAUCUUUUUACCUGGAUAUAUGUCUGUGAGGCUCCUGAAAGGAGACAAAUAAAGUCAAUAUAUUUGCACAGUGCAUUUUUUUCAGGCUCUUGACUUUUUGAACCUUCGGGGCCCAGGCUGCCAAGACUUGGGGAGGUGGGGGAGGAGGUGGCAGGGGGAUGCCGGACCAGGGAGCCGGGAGUGGUGCUACCUCCACAAGCUUCGGUCACCGGAACGAGGUUGCGCCACCGGUGCGCGGGUCGUUUGCCUGCCUCCCCAAGUGUAUCCACCCCCGGUCCAGAGCGCUCCUGCCUCCCUGGUCUAUUCCCCAUCGCCGGCAUCCGGGCUGGAGUGAAGCCGCAGGCGGGGCGGAGGCGGAGCUGAGGAUGGAGAGCUGUCUCCUCCCCGCGGUUGACUUCCCCGAGCUGGGGUCAGGGUCCUCACCCCACACCCGCCGCAGAAGACACAUAUCCCUCUGCGCCCAUUCCUGGCGGCGGGUGGGGAGAUGCUGGAGCCAGCAAUAUGAGAAAACAAACCUAGGGUCACAGGGAAAGGAGCGCCCCCAUUCCUCCGGACUCCCAGUCCAGGACUCCUUGCACCGCAGGAGUUUGUCUUUCCAGUGCUCUUCAGCCACUUCCCAAAUCCCUGUCUACCUCCUAAAUCCUCCGGGUUAGCACUGUGGCAGAGCCACCUGGCUGCGGAUGGCCACCAAGGUAACAAACCAUAUUUGGUUGAGCCGGGCAGGUCCCCACCCUGGGGCCCCCUCCAGGGCCCUCCCUCCAGGGUUACUCUAGGGCUUACCCACCCUGACAGGUUUAGGGCUCUCGCUCCGGUUGCGGAGUCUCUGUGCUCGGGCGCCCUCUGGUGGUGGGGCUGGUGCGUGGGGGGCAGGAAUCUCUAGGAGAUACCCAUUCUCUCAGCUGCAGCGCUGGGCUCUGGAGAAGAGGACAGCAGAGGAAAUGAAACAAAGAAACAAAAAUAGAACCACAGGGCCCGAGAGGGUGUUCUUCCCUGGGCUUAGAGAGAGCACAGGCCAUGGCCUUGGUGGCUGUGGUAUUUGGCCCGUGUCCCAGCCCCUGAGAACACGCUGUGGCAGUCCCCAACGACGGGUUCCAUUGUGGUGGGGUAUCAUGGCAGGAGACUUCUACCUGCAAAGGCCUCAGAGACGUGAGGCCACUGUGGGUCGAUGCUUGAUUCCUGCCAGGGCAGCUGCCACCACUGGACUAGUCUGAGCUCCGCGGGGUGGUGGGAGGAACUUCCUCUGAGCCCAGCCUCACUCUCUUCUCUCUCCAAAGAAACUCCCUGAGGACAGAGGGGUGGACCCCACAUCCUCUGCCCCUCUCUCUGUCUUACCUCUUGGGCAGCAGCUCCUGUGUCUACUCUUCAGGAGCUAGAUGCCCCAGGUGUCUGGAAGACCUCCCAGUGGGCUUCUAGACCCUUCAGGCCUGAGAUCCUCCCCUCUGCGUAGCCUUCUCCCGCGGAAGAACCUCCUUCUCUGCCCGGCAGUGGUUCACGCCUGUAAUCCCAGUACUUUGGGAGGCCUAGGUGUCCCAGGCCUCCCAAAUCGCUUGAGUCCAGGACUUCGAAACCAGCCUGGGCAACGUGGUGAAAUCCUAUCUCUACCAAAAAAAAAAACCAAAAAACAAAAAACAAAAAAUUAGCUGGGCAUGGUGGUGCACACCUGUGGUCCCAGCUAUUCAGGAGGCUGAGGGGAGAGGAUCACCUGAGCCCAGGGAGGUGGAGGCUGCAGUGAGCAGUGAUUGUGCCACUGCACUCCAGUGUGGGCAAUGGACUGAGACCCUGCCUCAAAAAACAGAAACAACAAACAAAAAGAACCUCCUGCUGCCUUCAGCCCCUACCUGAAGGGUCUCCUUGGGUUACCCCAGCCAACAACAGAGGUUAUUGUGGGGACCAUAUUCCCUGCUCAGCUGUGGGCAGGCCCAGCAUUGAGUAGGUGCUUCUGAAAUGUUUCUGUUGAAAUGAAUAAAGAGGUGGUGAGGAAGAUGCAUUCCUAUCUUGCCUACUUCCGUUGUUGUUGUUGUCGUUGUUUUCUGUUGUUGUCUGUUUUGAGAUGGAGUCUCUGUCACCCAGGCUGGAGUGCAGAGACAUGAUCCUGGCUCACUGCAACCUCCGCCUCCCAGAUUCAAGCGAUUCUCCUGCCUCAGCCUCCUGAGGAGCUGAGAUCACAGGCAUGCGCCACCACACCCGGCUAUUUUUGUGUUUUUGGUAGAGACAGGUUUCACCGUGUUGGCCAGGCUAAUCUCGAACUCCUGACCUCAAGUGACCCUAUCUCCACGGCCUCCCAAAGUGCUGAGAUUACAGGCGUGAGCCACCAUGUCUGGCCCUGGUUUGUUUUUUAAGUUAUUCUUGUAAUUUUUUAUCGACCUAGAAAUAUUUGUUUAUUAUAAUACAAAACAAGUCAGUCAUACUCCCACCACCCAGAGAUAAAUAAGUUAACAUUUUGGAGGUGAUGCCUAUAUAUGCAUGUUUAUUUUCUUUUACAAAAUGAGUUUAUAUUCUACAGGCUAUUUUUCGGCCUGCUUUUUUAAUUAAUUGGAUUUGCAUUUAAUAUCAGUAUGCAUCGAUCCACAUCACAGCUUUUCAUAAAUUCUAUUGAAUAGAUACUCCUUAUUUGGUUAAGUGAAUGUCCCACUAUUUAGUAUAAAUGUGAUGUCUUAUUUGUCCUCGUUUCUUAGUUUUCCCAGAAACAGGCAGUUCUAAGGGCUGAUGUGGAAAGAAGUCUGAUAGAAGCCGCGUCCCAGAGAGGCAGAGGGAGGGAGUCUGGGAUGCUGCAGUAUUAGAGGGAUCAGGCUGGGCCUGGAAAGCCAUGGCCCCUGGGCUACACGGGGGUUGCUCUCUGGUUCUGAACAUCUCUGCCCUGCACAGAGGACGGAGGGCAGACUGGAGGGUAGGGAGCUUGUGUUAGUCCGUUCUGGGUUGCUAUAAGGGAAUACCUGAGGCCAGGUAAUUUGUAAAGGAAAGAGAUUUAUUUGGCUUACAAUUCUGCAGGCUGUACAAGCAUGGCACCCGCAUGUUCUUCUGGUGAGGCCUCCAGAAGCUUCCACUCAUGGUAGAAGGUGGAGGGGGAAUAGGCUCCACCUUGCCACCACGUGGCAAGAGAGGGAGCAAGAGGGAGGCCACAGUCUUUUAGGCAACCAGCUCUCCCGUGAACCAACAGAACGAGAACUCACACAUCGCCAUGGGGAGGGCACCAAGCCAUUCAUGAGGGAUCCGCCCUUACAACCCAAAUGCUUCCGACCAGGCCCCGCCUCCCACACUGGGGGUCACAUUUCAACACGAGAUUUGGAGGGGACAAACAUCCAAACCAUAUCAGAGCUCCUACCAGACCCCUGUGGAACCACGGGGGCUCAGCUCUUCCCUGUGCUCACAGGCAUUCCAAGGUGGCACACAGCUCCAAGGAGAGGCGGGCUGGGGCCGACUGGGCUGGGCCAAAUAUUAGAAGAGGAGGGAAGGGGGGGCGAGACAUACAAUGAAGGAGCAAGAGAGAGCAAGAGUCAGAGAGGUGGAGAGGAAGGAGGUCCCUCCCCUCAGGGAGUCAGGAAAACUCAGUGACACAGAGAAGGCAAUGGAAAGAGAAGGAGAUGCAGGGGAAUAGGAUUAGGAGCCAGAGGAUGUUGGAUGUUGAGAGACAGAAGGAUAAAGGCCCCCCCGCUGGGAGUUGGAGAGACACUGAGACAGGGAGGGAGGGAGGGAGGGAGGGGGAGAG
ensembl:lncRNA